UGCACAGUUCUAUACUAUUAUAGAUAGCUGCCACAUUAUUCAUCUUAGAGAUGGCUUACUCUUCUUCAUCAUCGCAUCAUAUAUGUAUCAUACUUGCAAUGCCUCAUCGUAUUCUAUGAAUGAAUAAGAGUCUCCCAUCUUCAAGAAAGAUGAUGUGGUUGCCAUCUGCAACAGUCAGAACUCUGUGGUGUAAAAGUUGCACCAUAGAAGACUGAGCUUAUAUUUUAGGGUUUGCUUGUUGUAUCAUUAUAGAGUAACUGUGAUAGCCCAACCAAGCCCAGUCCAGCCAGC
rnacentral:lncRNA from 1 species